UACGUAGGGUGCGAGCGUUAAUCGGAAUUACUGGGCGUAAAGCGUGCGCAGGCGGUUCGUUGUGUCUGAUGUGAAAGCCCCGGGCUCAACUUGGGAACGGCAUUGGAAACUGGCGAGCUAGAGUGUGGCAGAGGGGGGUGGAAUUCCGCGUGUAGCAGUGAAAUGCGUAGAGAUGCGGAGGAACACCGAUGGCGAAGGCAGCCCCCUGGGCUGACACUGACGCCUCAGGCACGAAAGCGUGGGGAGCAAACAGG
rnacentral:rRNA from 1 species